CGCAUGAGUGUUAUAGGCCCAUUGAAGGUGGGUACAGCAAGUUUGUUUAGAGGUGUCGCUAGUGAAUCUUGGGCCCAGGUCCAUAUCCUCUUUUGUUUCCAAAUCAGAAACCCUGAGGCUUUCUUAUUCCCAUUUUGUUUUCUUCGUAGCAAAGCCAUAAGCCUUCUUUUCCUUGCUUUCCGCGUGAAGCCACCAGACACCAGCAGCUUCUUCUUCUUUCCUCAGCCUCUUCAAAGUCAGCAAUAUCACCGACGUUGAACUUGGUGGUUGCUUCCAUCUCUUUGCCAUCAUGGCCUCUCGAACUUUAUCUGCAAAACAACCUAAACCACAAAUCCAACCUAUCAAAAUGAAAAUCAUACCUGAAGCUCCACCGCGAAUCUCUUCAAGUCUCGCCGGAAGCCAGCCAUUGUACAUGCUAUCAAAUUAAGAGAUGGAGUUGAAGCUGAAAGGGAUGAUUGGUCUCUAUAUGAACCCGUGAGUGAAGGAUGAAGGCGUAUCCGAUGGUUUAUUUCUGAUAGAUAAAAGGAAAAGGUUCUGACUUAUCUGUUUUUUUUUUCUUAUUGAAUUAAGGGGUGAAUUAAGGAAUGAAAGCACAGCAAUUGAAUCUGAUCUGGAAGGAGAAUAAUGUUUGUUUUGGAAAAGAGAUUGCCAUUUGAUUAGGAAGAGAUUAUGGAUGAGUAAAGAAUUGGUUUCUGGAAAAGAGCUUGAAUUGGUAGGUGAUGGAGAGGUUAUAAUUAGGAGAUAUAGGAUGAAGGAGAUUAUGAAAGGAGUGAAAGAGGAAUUCUUGGAGAGGUGAGAAUUAAAGAGCUCCUCCCUCCCUUUGGUUAUGGCUUCCUUCUUCUUUAAAUGGACAGAGAUGAAGACCGUCGGCAAACUCUCAUUGGAGGAUUGGUAAAGGUAGAAAAUUGUGAACUGUCCUCCAUGUGAUACCUCAAUUGGUAUAUAUAAAAUUAGAUCUUAUGAUAUGGUAUCUGUGAGCUUCCUGUUAAUCUGAUUCAUGCUUUUUUGUGAAAUUAUGGGUUGAUUGGAGAAAUUAUUUGCAACAAACGAAGGAUUAAGUUAAUUGGUGGAAGAGGAGAAAUGAAAGUAUGAUUGCAAAACUUAGUGGGCGGCUAGGAAAAGAAAGUGAUUGACUGAGGAGAACAAUGAAUGGCACGUUGGAGAAUAAUUGGAAAGGAGCAAUGUCUAAAGGUGCAAUAGGAAGAUUAUCAAUAGAAGACACAUUGGAAUCUCAAAUCAAAUGAAAUUACUACCAAAUUAAAUCACAUUAAUCAAAAUCAAAUAAUUCCAUAAAUAAAACAAAUUAAGAUAAAUAAAACUAAAAUAGAAAUAAAAAUGAAACACAAGAAAUCAUAAAAUAAAGUAAGUUUUAAAACAAACAAAAUUAACUAAAACUAAAAACAAGUAACAGAAACAAGAUCACAUGAAAUCACAUACAAUAAAAUCACAUGAAAUAAAUCCAAAUAAGGAAGUCAAUCAAAUAAAGUAAAUUUGAAACAUACAAUAAAAUCACAUGAAAUAAAUCCAAAUAAGGAAGUCAAUCAAAUAAAGUAAAUUUGAAACAAAUCAAAUAAAAUUAAACCGCAUUAAACCAAAUCAAAUAAAAUUACAUGCUAUCCAUUAAAAUAAACAAAAUAAAUAUCAAAUCAAAUCAUUCCAUAAAUAAAUAAAAAACGUAAAAAAUAAAAUCUAAGAUCACAUAAAAAUACAAAUAAAAUUAAAUAAAAUUAGACCCACAUAAAACCAAAUAAAGUAAAAUCAUAUAAGAUCAUAUAAAAUAAAAUCAACUCAAACAUAAUAAUCGAUAAAACCAAGUGAAAUUAAAUAAAAUGAAGUAAACAUCAUAAAAAA